rnacentral:rRNA from 2 species
CAACUUUCAGUGCAGGGAUGUUUAGGCUCGCACAUCGAUGAAGAACGCUGCCAAUGCCAUCGUAAUGCCAAUUGCAAAUUCAUGGUGUCGUCUCAAUUUUUGAAUCAUAUUGCCCUUUCGGGUGUAGACCCGGCAAGUAGGUCUGUCUCAGGGUCCGG